rnacentral:lncRNA from 1 species
UAGAGAGAAGGAUCGCCAGCACACGGCGCACUGGUGCGGCUUCUCCCCUGCGGAAGACAGGGCGGGCCGCGAACGCAAGGACCCCCUUUCUGUUAUCCUGGGAUAUCACUGUGACAGGGCACCCCUAAAUCCAGCAAGCACCCUGUCUGCAAGGAACCCAGCCUGUCUGGAACAUCUGUUGGCCAUCUGGACUGCCCACUGGGAUCUCCCUCUACCCUCAGGUUUAACUCUCCGAUGAGAGAUUGCUCCCUCUCCUCCCCCGCCCUGGCUCACCCGAGUGGAUGAACAUGUGCUUGGUGUAGUUU